GACGAACGCUGGCGGCGUGCUUAACACAUGCAAGUCGAACGGAAAGGCCCUGCUUUUGUGGGGUGCUCGAGUGGCGAACGGGUGAGUAACACGUGAGCAACCUGCCCUUGUCUUUGGGGUAACUUCAGGAAACUGGGGCUAAUACCGUACAGGAUCCGCUGCUCCAUGGUGGGGGUGGGAAAUUUUCGGCUGUUGGGGAUGGACUGGCGGCUUAUCAGCUUGUUGGUUGGGUAGUGGCAUGCCAAGGCAUUGACGGGUCGCCGGCACGGGAGGGUGGCCGGCCACAUUGGGACUGAGAUACGGACCAGACUCCAACGGGAGACAGCAGGGGGGAGUAUUACACAGUGGGCGGACGCCUGAUACGAAGACGCCGCGUGUGGAAUGACGGCCUUCGGGUUAAAAACCGCUUUAGCUUGUGACGACGCGUUUGUGACGGUAAUGGAUGAAGAAGCACCGGCUAACUACGUG
rnacentral:rRNA from 1 species